rnacentral:misc_RNA from 1 species
GAUGAAGAACGUAGCGAAAUGCGAUAAGUAAUGUGAAUUGCAGAAUUCAGUGAAUCAUCGAAUCUUUGAACGCACAUUGCGCCCGCCAGUAUUCUGGCGGGCAUGCCUGUCCGAGCGUCAUUUCAGCCCUCGAACCCCUCCGGGGGGUCGGCGUUGGGGACCUCGGGAGCCCCUAAGACGGGAUCCCGGCCCCGAAAUACAGUGGCGGUCUCGCCGCAGCCUCUCCUGCGCAGUAGUUUGCACAACUCGCACCGGGAGCGCGGCGCGUCCACGUCCGUAAAACACCCAACUUCUGAAAUGUUGACCUCGGAUCAGGUAGGAAUACCCGCUGAACUUAAGCAUAUCAAUAAGCGGAGGA